GUUAUUUGAGGUGGACAAUAGUGCCAUCCACGCACCUAAAUGGUCAAAAGAGAUGCAGGAAACGGCACACCUGCCAAAUAAA
ncrna:unclassified sequences skipping-rope RNA